rnacentral:rRNA from 1 species
UACGGGGGGGGCAAGCGUUGUUCGGAAUUACUGGGCGUAAAGGGCUUGUAGGUGGCCAACUAAGUCAGACGUGAAAUCCCUCGGCUUAACCGGGGAACUGCGUCUGAUACUGGAUGGCUAGAGUUUGGGAGAGGGAUGCGGAAUUCCAGGUGUAGCGGUGAAAUGCGCAGAUAUCAGGAAGAACACCCGUGGCGAAGGCGGCUCUCUGGGACGGUACUGACGCUGAGACGCGAAAGCGUGGGGAGCGAACAGG